rnacentral:sRNA from 1 species
GCCGGUUGUGGUGGCGCACGCCUGUAAUCCCAGCGGCUCAGGAAGCUGAGGCAGGAGGAUCACCAGUUCAAAGUCAGCCUCAGUAAAAGUAAGGCACUAAGCAACUCAGUGAGACCCUGUCUCUA